AACAGUUCCCAGAGUCGUCUUUGUUUGCUCACUGAACAGUACGUAUGAAGUUUCUGGUGCGCGCGGGUGCGAGCAGAGAGAGAGAGAGAGAAUCCAGAGAAAUAUAAUGUACAGUGAAAGCUAAAACAUCAGACUGAUCCAGACACUGAAGAAAUUGAUGUGACUGUAAUCUGGCCAAAAUGAUGCCUCUUUUAUCUUGAUCAUCUCCAGGUGUAAAUUCCUCGCUAAUCCUCUUGCAGCUUGUUACACACACACAAAAGCUGACAACUAUAAUGAAGUAACCUACUAUAAUAAAGCUGCAGAACGACACGGAGACUCUGAGGACAUCAACACAGAAAAUGAAGGCUCCAAAGAGAUGUCUGUCCAGAUAAGGGUGCAUCAACGUUACCUUUGCUGACAAGUACAGUAUAUGCUUUACAAUGUAAAACCUAACAGUUAACUUAAGUCAAACCAUUUAAGGAAACAGGUUGCUUUAAACCAUUUAAGUUUUAAAACACAUACAUUUGAGUACUGUGAACAUCACAAGUGGAUGACAUUAAUGCCAGGUGUAAACGGUGUUCAAAACGCUUCGAGCUCAUCUACUUUUGACCACUUUCGACCACAUUCAGAGGUAGUCGAAACCCAAGACAUAAUUCCAAAACAAAGCUCUGCAAUUGAAUCUACAUUGCAAAAAUCACUUUCUAACUUAGUAUUUUUAUCUUGUUUUCAGUAGAAAAACUAAAAAUUCUUAAAUCAAGAUGUAUUUUCUUGAUGAGCAAAAUUACCUAAGAAAAAUGUCUAGUUUUUAGACAAAAAUAUACAAUUUAAGUAGAUUUGUGCCUAAAACAAGCAAAACUAUCUGACAAUGGGGUCAGAAAAUUUAGCUUGAAUUAAGUUUUUAAGAAAAAAGAAAAACUUAUUUUAUGGUUUCUUUUCUCACACCAUUGGCAGAUAUUUUUGCUUGUUUUAAGCAUUCAAAUUCACAAAUGUAUUAUUAUUAUUUUUAUAUAUAUAUAAAAACUAGACUUAUUUCCUUAAGUCAUUUUGUUAAUCAAGAAAAAGCAUUUCAAUUGAAAUAAUAUUUCUACUAAAAACAAGACAAAAAUACUAAGUAAGAGUCAUUUGUUGCAGUGUAGGAGUGAUUUCUUAAAGCAAGAUCAAUAGUUGUUGUUCAUUUUAUUUAGAUAUUUACUACAUUACAGUGGCGGCUGGUAACUUUUUUUUUGUGAGCAAUCGAUGUGAAGUUCACAAUUUCAAAAUGUGUUCUGCGUGUCGAGUGCGUGUAUGUGCAUCACGUGUUUUGACUAAACACGUGAUGCACAUGGUUUACAUGAAGCAACAAACACAUUUUUAAAACACCAGCAACACACAACACUCAACACUCAACACUUAUUUUGAAUUUGCCCCCUCUGAUGAGCAGUCAUGAGCCGCCACUGCUACAUUACAUGUACUGCUUUGAAUGUAGUUUCAUUGUUGCUUUUAUUUUGUUUUAUUUUACUCUAAUAUUGCUAAUAUUUGUAUAUUUAUGAGUUUAAAUAGUAUUGUUUAUGUAUGCAACUUUUAAUAUUUGUGUAUAAUAUUAUUUUGUGAUUGUGACAAUUGUGGAUUGUUCUGUUUUUAUUAAAUAAACAUUUCAAACUCAA